GGAUGCACGCAAAAAUAAAAGGACCGAUAACGACGGAGGAAGUGCUCCCAGCAAGUGAUAGCUUAUCUUCCUGGACGUGUGAUGACGUCGUUAGCGAUCGUGACUCACUUAAGUGAUCUUGUCCAGGACGUCUGAUUUAGAAAAAAAAACAAAACAAAUCAUAAUUUGAACUUGUUAUCGGACAGGAUGUCCAACUAAACAGACAAUGGGGAAAGUAGGAAAGUGUACGUGUGCGUACAAUAAAGAGAUGCCACUUCAUUCCCUUCGUCCAAUUUCACCAGAAAUUGAACAAAAAAUCCCAAACGAACAUAUUUGGCAUUAGCUUCGCAUAUAUAAGAAAGUUGACGUUUCAAACUGCGGUGAGUGAGGCGUAAUCUUGUAGGUCAUCGGAACAUCGGUGUUCGUGUUCAAGCGUUCCACGUUUCGUUUCGUUUUUUUUUUGUUGUUGUUGUGUUGUUUUUGUGUGCGUUGGCCUCAAACUGUUGUUCUACAUCAGCAUAACUUGCGCGCCCUGCACAGUUAGCGACGUCUAUGCCACAAAAACAAGAACCUGCGAUCGCAAUCGUUGAACUGGAUCAAUAAACACGACGACGGCUUUUUCUAGUAGUUUGUAUUCCACUGAAAUUCUUUCUCUUCUUUUGUAUAGCAUUUGGUCAUUGUCAAGUCGCCCUGCCCCACUCCUACCAGUUUUCUUAUCUCAUUAUUAGUCUUAUUUAUAUUCUUUAUUUUUUUAUUUGAUUGUUUAUCUGAUCAUGUCCAGCAUGCAGCGUACACACAACACGUCUGUAUUCCGCCCUAUACUAGUUUAUUAUGUAUAACAGAUGGACAUCAUUUCACUCGCAGGUUUCUAAUGUGUCCGUGUCAGCGGGUUGUUUUCACUUUGUCCCAUCCAUCGUCUCUGAAGGCGAGAAAUCGCCACAAUGAGGAGAAAGUCUAUUUGUUAUGUCUUUCCGGUUUUUUUUUUGUUUUGUUUUUUUUGUUUUUUUGUUGUUGUUUUUGUUGGAAUACAAUUUAUUUGAGAUGCGGCGUCGGCGGGGGCCACGUGUUACCAACACGACCACCAAGUCGCACGAUCCACAUAGAAACGCUGUCGAGUCCUCAACUGCCCCCACUCUAAAGAAAAAAUUCAAAGAAAAAUCGACUUUUUCAACUUCAAUUCGCCUUUGUUACGUCAUACGAAAACUGAGGGCUGAAAUUGUUUACUCAUAUAGGGGGGCGAGGUCCGUUUCGUGUCCGUCGUCUCGGCUCGUCAAAGUCUCGGACUGGUUCGCCAGGGAUUGUAUACAUACACACACACACACACCCUCACGAGCCCUUUUUGCAGAGCUUGGGCUGUAUAAAUAUAACUACUAGCUACGUAUAUUUGUGUACUAAAGGAAAAAUAGGAGCAAAGCAAUUCUUAGUAGCCGUACGGCAAUAAUCUUGGCCAGCACUCCAUCAACUAUCGGGAGAAACGGGCCUUGUGUAUACGACGUGAUAAACAUUUCCUCAUUGGUUCGUGCAGGUGUAAAUAUUUACGGUUUAUAGUUGGGAAAAUCAGAGCGGUUGAAGCAGAUUUCUCGUCAAGAAGUAAAAAUAUAUAUAAGGUACUAUAUAGUUAUACAGUACAGUAUAUACUGCUGUAUGUAUAAAAAUGUGUGAGAUCAGCCGGCGGAAGGCGGAUGAGUUCAUAGUGCUGAUGGCUGGUUGCUGAUGGCGUGAGUUCAUGCAAAUUGGCUGCUCGGUACUUGAAGUAGAAUAAGAAGCGGGAUGCCCAUUUUCAGGAGGAACAAAUGUCCGCCUCGCUCGUACGUCAGCGCAAAUCGACAGAUUGUCCGGACCCGCCUUUUUUUUGCAUCUUUUCGAACAAAAUCGCACACGAACUUUGUGCGCUGCGUUUCCUUACUAGACUCGAAUUACCAUAACGAGUGUUGUUCACGUCAGACAGCUAGUCUGCAACAGCCAGAAAUCGAUAAUUAGCGAUCCCACCCGAAUUGCAUUUGAUUCGAAUCGAUUCGAAUUGAUUCGAAUCGAUUCAACUUGAAUUGCGUUUUUUGAGAUUUUUCGAAUAUUCAGUUCAACUCGAAUUGGAAAAAUCAAAAUUCAUAUUCAUUUGAAUUGUGAUAUUUUUGGGUAAAUAUUCAUGAAAAUUUACCUGAAUAUUCAUUUUUCGAUUCAUGAAUAUUCUUUGUGAAUAUUCGUGAAUAUUUAUGUCAAUUCACGUCAAAUUGAUUAAAAAAAUUUUAAAAACAAAACAUUUACGCUCUUAGAGCAGCAGCAACUAGUCUCUAAAUAGCCAUUUGGCUAGCAGACCACAACUCAUGCCUCUAUGGUUUAUUUCUUUCUCAAGAAAAGCAUAUGGCACUGACUGAGGCUUUUUAAUUCAGAUGAGUCCACUACUCCACUCUCUUUUUUCGAUUAAAUUGACUGGCAAGUGCUAACUGCCAACUGCCAUAGGCUCUUAACUCUUGACUAGUCAUUGUUCAUGUGCUCAUGUUUUGCGUAAAGAUUGGCAAAUUUUCUCUUAACACUUAACAAACUCAGUUAUACUUAUUUAUGCGCAUUUAUGUCGAUACGUUAAGUGUUAUUAUGUUUAUUAUUGAUGCCUGAAUAAAGAAAUCAUUUUUUUGCAAAAUUAAAAAAUUUAUUUUGAUUUGAUUCGAAUCGAUUCGAAUUCCAUUCGAAUUGAUUCGAAUUGAGUUUUUGUCAAUUCAAAUCAAUUCAAAUUCAACUCGAAUUGUAUUUUGAAAAAAAUUAUUCAACUCGGAUUGCGUGAAAUACCUCGAAUUGAUUCGAGUGGGAUCGCUAUCGAUAAUCACAAAGAACACAAAGACAAAUGAUUGCAAUGCUUAUUCAUUCAUUCAUUUUGUCUUGUCGCUCAUAAUAUUGCACUCAACACGACAAGGGCGACAUCGACAAAGAAAUAUUUCCAGAAUAAGGUGGACUGUUCGACAUGAACAAACGGCAAUCUAUUUGGCUUCAAGGGCUAACCUGCAGCUCACCUCGGUUCCUCACACAUUUUUCACUUUUAUUUAUUCAAAUCGUAUUCUAAAAGUAGAAACGCCGUCCUCCCGGCUGCUGUGCCCCUGUAUUGUGUGUGUGUGUGUGUGUGUGUGUGUGUGUGUGUGGAAAUGCUAUAGACGUCACACUCCCCGUGGCUUGAUAUUGGUUGACGUUGAUGACAUUCCGCCAGAUUUUGUUAUUGGGUUCAACAAUGCGCGAUGAAACACUUGUCACUUUCACUUGUCAGCCCGAUAAAUAAUGGUGUGACUAUUUGUCCUUGAGGGCAUACAAAUAAUUGGUUCGUGUCAACGCUCCAAUCACGAUUGAUCGGACUCUGAUAGAGAGUCUGACACGCGGCGUAACCGUAUCGGAAGCGGGCACGCCCUGUUCCUUCAUUAUUCCGAUUCCAAGUUCUGACUGAUCGAUCAAAACAAAAAAACGAAAAUACGUGGCAUACAAAUGGCUGCAUGAAUAAUAUAGUCGUACUACAAGCAGUUUAUUGCGUUAAACAAAAGAAAAAACGAGAACAACAACACGAACGGCAUCGUUUCGUAUCAUCGCGUUUCACUUGAAAACGUUUUUAGAAUAAAAAUAGAAAAACAAAUAGAAAAUGAAAGUGCAAGUAACUGUGAGAUUUACCACGUUCUAAGUUUGUUGUAACUAACUAUAACUAGCCUACACAGAAGUGCAACUGACAAGAAAGGAAGAAAAUAUCUUCUUGCGUCAUUUGUUGUUGUUGUUGUUGUUGUUGUUGUGAAAAGAAAAACGCCAAGAUUCGGAAUAAGCAGAGAGACGAAAGAUGAUACAAGAAAAAAACAAAAAACAGGCCAUAACGAUAGCGUUGCCAAUGCUGCGUGAAGAACGUAAAAAAAUGACUUUUUUUUCUUCUCUCUCUCUCUGUUUGUUGCGUUUCAAGUAUGAGAAGAAGAAGAAAAAAAAAAGAAUCAAGGUUGAAAAGGUAUCCUAUCAGCAACAAAACACCGCAAAACCAAACCUACCAAACAAAAUAAAAGAAAAAAGAAAAAAAUGAACAAGGAAAACAUAACUUUGCAUUGCCACCGGUGGUGCGCGUUUCAAAAAACUUGUGCCUUGUCUUUUGGGGGGCGAAUCGGAAUCCGCAUUCCCUCCGCCUUCUGAAACAUGGCCAGCACUCGAGAAUGCCUAUAUGUACACCGUAUAGACGAGCGUGUAUGACCGCGACUCUUCAACCAGCCCGAAAAACAUAUAUACACCUGUAUCUACCAGUAGAGAAGAGAGAGAGAAAAGGAUCAUUUUCAAACAUUAUCCAAGGAAGCGUAAGAAGAAAAAAGAAAGAGAAGUUGAUAUUGAGGCAUGAGCCUGGAGAAGGAUAGCCACUGCAACUGCUGGUGUAGGUGAAUACAGGCGAUAGACCAACUGGACUGGGCUGCAUUUUGUUUUUUUGUUUUUUUUUGUGGUUUCAAAUGAACUCGACUUGCCUGUUUUUGCCAGCAAUGCACCAAUCACUAGGAGCUUUAGUGAAUAACAAAACAAGAAGUUGAGGAAUAAAUCAAAAGAGGCAAAAUAUAAAAGAAAAAACAAACCUGCUGGGUACUAAACAAUCUACAUAAUCGAAGGCAACAUAAAUUUUCCUUUUCUUAUAAAGAUUGCAGGGAGGUAUAUAAUGCUUUGCGAAUGCCAUUGCGUAGCAUUCAAAAGCAAAUGGCAUCCAGGUGUCUUGCGUUAUUUCCCUCCCCCCCUCUGAAGUUCUACGCAAAGGCAAAGGCAAAGGCUAAAAAAAAAAAUCUGACCGGAAGAUAAAUAAAAGCAAACGACCAAGGCCAGUAACAAAAACGCGCACCGCAUUCCUCACGGCAUCAACGACAAGACGCAUGGGCGUGGCAACUGCAUUCGAAUAUAAUAAGCAACGAGGUAGCAAAGCAUCGAGCGAAUGAUCCGCAGCUGAAAAAACUAUUUGACGAUGCUCGAGUUUCAGUUGGAGGAACCCUUAGAAAUUUGGCCGUCGUAUAUAUAUAUAUAUGUUCACCACAUUGAAAUGUCAUCCCCCCCCUCGUCCCUUCUGUGUCCCCCCACGUUCUAAACCCCCGUCGAAAUUUCAUAAAAACCCAUACAAGAAAAAGAGAUAGAAAAUGGAAUUCCAGGAUUGCACAGCACGGCAUUCCGGAGAUUCAGAAGGAAUCUCCAAAACGGUCGGAUGGUUUUUACAUGUCUGUUUUAAACUGAAACGGAACGACCUCGAAAAAAAAAGAUAACAAUGUCCCGAAAAAUAUAUUUAAAAAAAGGGCAAAAAUUCUGGAUUAAUACGAUGAACCAUUUCAGGCCUUUCAUAGCCGUCACCAAGUCUAUUGUUCAAACGAAGACAAAUGCAAUGGCGAAACACGGGGGUCUGCAUUUCAUUUUUGGAAAAUUAUUUUUUUUUUUUUUAUGGGCCCUCAGCAAAGAAGCGUUCCAAUUUUUCAUAGUUUAACUGUCUCUAAUUUUCACUGGCCCGUUGGGUGGCUUUUAUUUAUUUAUUUAUUUAUUUUUCCCUUUUAUUUUAUUUUUUCAUUUUUUCCUCCGCGUUUUGUUAACCUUCUCAUUUCCUUAUUCUCCGCGCUCUCUUCACAAAUUAAAAAAUAACACAAACUCCAACGGUCCAACUCGACCUGUGCGUGAUAAAUAAUUGUCCAUGUGGAACCACCUCAUUAUUAAAGGCCCUGUCUCUCGAAUUUAGAACUCGUGUUUUUUUCCCCUUUCCCUCUCUCCCUUUAUAUAACUUAAAAAUCGUAUGUAGCCUACGUAAUGCGCAUAAAUAGCCAACGCUUAUAAAUAAUAAUUUAAAAAAACCCUCGCGUCAAA